rnacentral:snRNA from 1 species
ACUCAAACCUGACAAGGGAGAUAUCAUUGUUGUAAAAGUGGUUUUCCCAGGGUAAGGCUCAUCUAUUGCACUUUGGUAUGAGCUGACCCCUGUGAUUUCCCCAAACAUGGGGAAAUCAACUGCUUAAGUGGGGGACUGUGUUUCUGAUUUUUCUAGAAUCAUUCUUUCCCCUU